AAUGGUACCACCUUUCCCAUGAAGAGAUGAUGAGACAUGGAUUCAUAGUUGUUUUACUUAAACCAGCAAGAGUCAAAGAUUUCCAAAGAUCAUCCCACACGAGAGGAAAUAUGCACGACCAGACUGAAUCCUAUAUGUUUCCAAUGAAAAUAAACUUCCAUCGCCAGUGCCAACAGGAAUUUACACAGGGCCAGGAGAAGUGAGCUCACUCUAAUUAACCGACUGUGUGGCCUCACAGCAUCCUUGCGCCCUGAACGGACUCGCAGUGUGGAAGUCAGACAGCUCACUACGAAACGAAUCGAAUCGAAUCGAAUCGAGGAGUAAAAGUGUGCCUCGCUCCCUGCGGACUAGAACAAGGGUCUCUCGUUGCAGAAGCGGACGACCAUAAUAAAUGAGAAGGCAGAAAGGAGAAACGCAACAAAACCGGGUCCUGCUGGAGAAAGCACACAUCAUAAAGACAUAUGGCAAAAGAUCAAUAUUCAUGCCUCAAACAGGAACCUCCACAACAAGCUCCACAUUUGUAUUAUGGCAGGGAAGGAAAGGCUAUUGUUAGCACUGAGGCUUAUUUACAGCGUCUGGCUGCGUGCUGACUCCCGUCCGUUUCUUAGUAGGGAUUGAGUAGAGCCUGCAGCAGCGAGGGGUCUGGGGGUACUUAGAAGUGAGCGCAUACAACAGAGCAUGGUCUCCGGUGUGGCCAGCAGGUGGAGAUGCAAUGAGGCGGAGGGCACCCUGGAACUGAGCCCACUCACCAAUCCCAGGACUGGGCACGCGGGCUGAUUGCAGAAGCCUGCCUGGCACAGCCAGGUGGACAGAUGCAGACAAAAAGAGGCCGGCGCCCCCUGCUGGUCAACUCGGCUCUGCUUUCCCUCCGCUGCCCAGAGGGGCCCAAGAAACCGGGAAGAGAAUGCAGGACUGGAGGCCAAACCUCCUUCACCAGCUGCCUCCGUGGCCCUGGGCAGGGCGUUUAUUAUCUCUGAGCAUCCGUUUUCUCCAUCUGGAAAGGAAGAACUUCUCCCUGUCAUUCCUAAGUCCCAGGACUGCUGCCAGGGUAAAGUGUGGCAAAUUAUGGGCAUAUGCUAUGAAAAUAGAAGCCAUUUUGGUUAUUGUUCUUAGCACGGCAUUCUUAAAUCAGAGCAAAAAGUGUCUGGGACAUAAAUCUGAAAACAAUACAUUUAAAAUAAAGCAAAGAAUGAAUGGGUGAAAAGU